CCUACGGGUGGCAGCAGUGAGGAAUAUUGGUCAAUGGGCGGGAGCCUGAACCAGCCAAGCCGCGUGAGGGAAGAAGGUACAGUGUAUCGUAAACCUCUUUUGUCAGGGAACAAAGGCGGGGACUAGUCCCCGUAUGAGGGUACCUGAAGAAAAAGCAUCGGCUAACUCCGUGCCAGCAGCCGCGGUAAUACGGAGGAUGCGAGCGUUAUCCGGAUUUAUUGGGUUUAAAGGGUGCGCAGGCGGCAUGUUAAGUCAGCGGUAAAAGUCCGGGGCUCAACCCCGGCGAGCCGUUGAAACUGGCGUGCUUGAGUUGGAGAGAAGUACGCGGAAUGCGCGGUGUAGCGGUGAAAUGCUUAGAUAUCGCGCAGAACCCCGAUUGCGAAGGCAGCGUACCGGCUCCACACUGACGCUGAGGCACGAAAGCGUGGGUAUCGAACAGGAUUAGAUACCCGUGUAGUC
rnacentral:rRNA from 1 species